rnacentral:lncRNA from 1 species
UCUCUCUCUCUCUCUCUCUCUCUCUCUCUAUAUAUAUAUAUAUAUAUAUAUAUAUUGAUAUAUAGGCUGGGACUACUAUACUCUUGUGAGUAUAGACCUCUUUAUAUUCAUAAAUUUUUAACUGUUGAUUGAUGGGAUGUGUGGUUAGGAUGACGGUGGUUCUCACUUAGAAUGAUAGUGGUCCCCUAGGGUUGAGUGGAUAGUUGGUUGAAUAACAUAAUCUAACGGAUAAAAAUGGCCAAUGAAAUAAAUCUAAGGAUCGAAAAUUUAUGAGUAUAAGAGAGGCAAUACUCAUAAAAGUAUAGUAGCCGCACUAUAUAUAUAAAUAUAUAUAUAUAUAUUAGCGUGUGGGUGUCAACAACGAUCCAUUGGCACUUAUGAUAGA